UGAUAUUUCAGAUGGUAAGAUUUGGGCUCUAAAUAAGCCUGUAAGAGACUUAAAGAGGUGGGAUAGCACAGCGGUGGAGCAAGUACUCAACUAGGAUUCCUGAGAAAUAGAUUUUACUUGUUCUGUGCUCUUUGGUAAAUCAUUUGACUACUUCAAUAUCUUCAAUUGCAGAAAGAAGUAAAUGGGACAAUUGUCACAACACUAUUGUGACAGUUAAGGUGAUAUGCAAAAAUACUGUGAGGAGGACAGUGUUCAGCACACAUAAGCAUUCAAUUAGUACUGGUUAAUUUUAUUUCUAGGCCCCAACAUUCUGACACCCAGUUAGUAUUUUCAGUUAAGACUGUUGGCUGUAGCCUUUCAGAUGAUGGUUAUGAUGGCUUCUUCAACUAGUCGGUCUGUUUCCAGUUUAUCCCUGAAGAUCACAGGCUCAGAAGAUUUGCCAUCAACGUGGGUUAAGAAUUACAUGGAACAGCAGAGGGCGCCCUGCUCCACGUUUCUAGGACUGUAAAGCAAGUACCUGCCCAAUCCUGCCACUUGGAACUUGUGUGAAUGACAGCCGAACCUAAUUUCCACAAGAUCAGGAAGCUGCCUGUCCUCUUUAUUGUUAAAUCUUCAGCAUUAGCACUCAUUACACGCAUAAGUGUCUCCUCCUCAUCAGAGCUGCGGAAAUGCUGCCAAGAAAAACAAACUCAGCCAUUUUUAUUUUACUUCUUGACAUGUGUGUAUUCUACCAACACUGUCUGUUUUCUGCU
rnacentral:lncRNA from 1 species